UCCGGUGUAGUCUAGUGGCUAGGAUACCUGGCUCUCACCCGGGGGGCCCGGGUUCGAUUCCCGGUACCGGAA